AAGGAAGGCAGCAGGCGCGCAAAUUACCCAAUUCUAACAGUUUGAGAGAGGUAGUAACAAGAAAUAACAAUACAAGGCAGUUAAAAUGCUUUGUAAUUGGAAUGAUAGAAAUUUAAACCCUUUUUAAAGUAUCAAUUGGAGGGCAAGUCUGGUGCCAGCAGCCGCGGUAAUUCCAGCUCCAAUAGCGUAUAUUAAAAUUGUUGCAGUUAAAAAGCUCGUAGUUGAAGUUCUGCUGAAAGUAACCGGUCUGCUUUUAAUAAAAGUGGUAUCUUGGUAUGUAUUUAGCAAUGAUGUCCUUUGAAGUGUUUUUUACUUUAUUGUAAUAAAGCAUAUUCAGGACUUUUACUUUGAGAAAAUUAGAGUGUUUCUAGCAGGCUGACGCUUUGAAUACUGCAGCAUGGAAUAAUAAGAUAGGAUUUUAGUUCUACAUUAUUGGUUUUAAGAGCUAAAUUAAUGAUUGAUAGGGACAGUUGGGGGCAUUUGUAUUUAACUGUCAGAGGUGAAAUUCUUAGAUUUGUUAAAGACAAACUACUGCGAAAGCAUUUGCCAAAGAUGUUUUCAUUAAUCAAGAACGAAAGUUAGGGGAUCGAAGACGAUCAGAUACCGUCGUAGUCUUAACUAUAAACUAUGCCGACUAGAGAUUGGAGGUCGUCUUUAUAAACGACUCCUUCAGCACCUUACGAGAAAUCAAAGUCUUUGGGUUC
rnacentral:rRNA from 1 species